AUUUUACCCCACAAAGAGUAAAAGUCAGUGCAGAAUUUGGCUUUCCAUAGACAUAAAUGUUUGCACCCACCUUCAUACUCUCUCACAGAUCAAAAAAUAGUGAAUUUAUUACAUCUUCAGAUGAAAUAUCUGAGCAUAUGCAUACACACAUGCUCCAUCCCUACUCAGAGCCUUAUACUUCCUUUCUUUGCACAGUGCUCUGACAAUGUCUGAUGUAAAGAGGCAGAUGAGAAUUUAUCCUCUACUUCACCACCGCAUUACUCAAGAUUUAGACAAGGGUAAUGACAUUCAUCUCAGUGGAGUUACUGCCAUUAUAUGACAGUAUUAACGAUUAGUGAAUCAAGCUGUAUUUUUUUAUUAUAGGAGAACAACAGCAACUUUUACACUGUCCAAUAAUCUUUCAACCAAUUUUGGAGUUCUCCAGCAUCUCCAUGCUUUUCUGUAGGAUUUGGACAUUUGGAAGUGGGGUAGUUAUUGUUUACUAUCUGUACUAUCCUAGUACCUAGCAGCUGUAGUUAUGGAUCAAGACCCCAUUGUCCGAGGUGCAAUAGUAAGACAAACCCAGAGCAAAAGGAAGCACAAAGGUGCUUGUUCAAAAGUUUAACAAGUGAAUGAUGGAGGUUGGCAUCAUGCGUGAAAAUCUUGACAGAGAAAGAGGAAAUAGGUGAAGUGGGGACAGGCUGCAACGGGCUUGGAAAGUGAAAAAAAGAAGUUACUCACCCUGUGCAGUAAUGAUUGUUCUUCGAGAUGCGUGUCCCAUGGGUGCUCCACUGUAGGUGUCGGCUUGUCCCGGCGCCGCAUAUCGGAGAUCUUUUCUAGCCGUAGUCUGCCGGACCACACAUGCGCGAAGUACGGCUCAUGGCUUUUCGCGCCGUUUGAGCGCUGCUGGUCCGGCUCCCGCCAGUUCCUCCUGCCUCUUGCUCUGAAAGACAAAAUAAUAAUAAACUCCGAAGAGGAGAGGAGGGCAGGUCAUGGAGCACCCACGGGACACGCAUCUCGAAGAACAAUCGUUACUGCACAGGGUGAGUAACUUCUUUUUCUUCUUCGAGCAGUGUCCCAUGGGUGCUCCACUGUAGGUGAAUGUACAGCAGUAGCUCGCGAAUGGAGGAGGGUUCGGAGCUAGCAUGCCGUAGCUGAGGAUAACACCGCUGUCGCCACCGUGGAAUCAGGAUGGGAAAAUACUGAACAUCCGUCGACCGGCUGAUGAAAGGCUGCAAUUGCAGCGACAUGAACUCUGAUGGAAGCGCAGGUAAGGCCUGAAUUCUUGAGGUGUACCAGGUAGACUAGGAUACACUGCAGAGGUGUGGAGACUGGGUUCAGGUCCUUUUGGGAACACCACGAUGAGAAGCGUGACCAUUUGGAAAGGUACCAAGCCGUGAGCGCGAGAUGGUUCACCUGCGGAUGGAGAAGGGAGCGAUGAUUCUGCGAGAGGAGAUCAUGUCGAACUGGCAGAGGAUACGGAGGAUGCAUCGACAUGCGAUGGAGUGUUCGCGAGAGAGACGUUGUUCCGUCCGCGGCCGAAGAUGGUCAGGAGCAACUGGCGGGAGCCAGACCAGCAGCGCUCAAACGGUGUGAAAAGCCAUGAGCCGUACUUCGCGCAUGCGUGGUCCAGCAGACUACGGCUAGAAAAGAUCUCCGAUCUGCGGCGCCGGGACAAGCCGACACCUACAGUGGAGCACCCACAGGACACUGCUCGAAGAAGAACAAAGAGUUUCUGUUUGAUCCAGUAAUGGGGAAGCCAG